UAACGUUAUCUUGAUGUAGCCUGAGUGGCCUCUCACAGACAAUGAAUCUACGACGAGUUUGGCGUUCCCCAUCGUCACUCCAGUACGUAGGGCUAUGUGGCACGACAAAUUGUGAGACUUGUGCCCGCACAUCGUUUUUUAUUUACGUAAUAGUACAUAGAGGAAAUGUUUUAGCUGGGUUUUCUUUGCCAAUCCACUACGCAUGGUUUAUUCCGGGAAUGCGCGGUUUCCGUCCUCUCCGUGCUCUCCGUGUAAACUACUAAUGAGAUGGCGGGCGGGGGGUUUCGUUCGACCUUUUAAUAAAGCGGUCUCUGCUCAGCCGCGGAAACAGCUGGCCCUGUUCAAACUGAUGUAAUUAAUGACGACGUAGAGUACAGAUGAACAUUGCCUGGCCUUCUCCAUCCGACGCGAUGAAUUAUUGAGGCAGACGGUUCCCCGAGGCACUGCGUAACGUGAGCUAGCGGGGAGAUCUUGCCUCACUCCGCCGAGAGCGUUGAGGGGAUGUGCUAUGGAGACAGAGCGUGAAAUACCUGGAUCCCGACAGCAAAGCGGCCUACUCUGCAGUGUGCCCUUCAGCAGGAAGGGGAUCGUAGAUGAAGCGAUUGCUUUCAUCACGGGCGCGGUCGGGCCAUGUGUACCCCAGGCUUGAGCAGAGAUCACGUGUCGACGGCUGGGGCUGCUGCUGGGUGGAAAAACUCUCUCCAUCCCGCCCACCUGCGUUUCUUUCAGAUUAAUAGCCAGGCCCACCUUUCUGGAUUUAAUCAAAAUCAAAAGGCAGAACAUCUUGAGGGCAGCGAGGACUGUAGAUAAUGCUCAUAAAGAUGGAAGAAAAGGGGUCAAGGGACACAUUGUUAGAGGCAUGUUAUUUUUUUCUCCAGUCAUGCCGAAAGAUGAUUCUUGGUAGGUUUGAGUAAAUAAAUAUCUCUGUGAAUCCCCACAGUUUUUCGAUAGACAGUACAAUAAUAUACCAAUUAUUACCUCCACCGAGGAGGUUAUGCGAUGAUGUA